AAGCGUGCGCAGGCGGUUAUGUAAGACAGAUGUGAAAUACCCCGGGCUCAACCUGGGAACUGCAUUAGUGACUGCAUAGCUGGAGUACGGCAGAGGGGGAUGGAAUUCCGCGUGUAGCAGUGAAAUGCGUAGAUAUGCGGAGGAACACCGAUGGCGAAGGCAAUCCCCUGGGCCUGUACUGACGCUCAUGCACGAAAGCGUGGGGAGCAAACAGGAUUAGAUACCCCUGU
rnacentral:rRNA from 1 species